AACGAACGUUGGCGGCGUGGAUGAGGCAUGCAAGUCGAACGUGAAAACCUUCGGGUGAGUAGCGUGGCGGACGGGCGAGUAACACGUAAUCAAGCUACCUGCUAGACGGGGAUAACUUCGGGAAACCGAUCGUAAGACCCGAUGGGCUCACGACACCGCAUGGUGAUGUGAGUAAAUGGACGGGACCCUCCGGGGCCGUCUGCUAGUGGAGGUGAUUGCGGCCCAUCAGCUUGUUGGUAGGGUAAUGGCCUACCAAGGCUACGACGGGUAGCCGGCCUAAGAGGGUGGCCGGUCGCACUGGGACUGAGACACUGCCCAGACUCCUACGGGAGGCUGCAGUCGAGAAUCUUCCGCAAUGGACGAAAGUCUGACGGAGCGACGCCGCGUGGAGGACGAAGGCCUC
rnacentral:rRNA from 1 species